ACGCUCGACACCUACGGGAGCAGCAGUGGGGAAUAUUGGGCAAUGGGCGCAAGCCUGACCCAGCAACGCCGCGUGAAGGAAGAAGGCCCUCGGGUUGUAAACUUCUUUUGACAGGGACGAAGAAAAUGACGGUACCUGUCGAAUAAGCCACGGCUAACUACGUCGCACAGCCGCCGGUAAGUACUUGAGGCGGGCGUGGCGAAGGACG
rnacentral:rRNA from 1 species